CCUACGGGGUGCAGCAGUGAGGAAUAUUGGUCAAUGGACGGAAGUCUGAACCAGCCAUGCCGCGUGCAGGAAGACGGCUCUAUGAGUUGUAAACUGCUUUUGUACAGGUGUAAACCUGAAUACGUGUAUUCAGCUGAAAGUACUGUACGAAUAAGGAUCGGCUAACUCCGUGCCAGCAGCCGCGGUAAUACGUAGGUGGCAAGCGUUAUCCGGAUUUACUGGGUGUAAAGGGAGCGUAGAUGGGUUGUUAAGUCAGUUGUGAAAGUUUGCGGCUCAACCGUAAAAUUGCAAUUGAUACUGGCAGUCUUGAGUACAGUUGAGGUAGGCGGAAUUCGUGGUGUAGCGGUGAAAUGCUUAGAUAUCACGAAGAACCCCGAUUGCGAAGGCAGCUUACUAAACUGUGACUGACAUUGAUGCUCGAAAGUGUGGGUAUCAAACAGGAUUAGAUACCCGUGUAGUC
rnacentral:rRNA from 1 species